UACGGGGGGGGCAAGCGUUGUUCGGAAUUACUGGGCGUAAAGGGCGCGUAGGCGGCCUGCUAAGUCGGAUGUGAAAUCCCUCGGCUCAACCGAGGAACUGCAUCCGAUACUGGCGGGCUUGAAUCCGGGAGAGGGAUGUGGAAUUCCAGGUGUAGCGGUGAAAUGCGUAGAUAUCUGGAGGAACACCGGUGGCGAAGGCGGCAUCCUGGACCGGUAUUGACGCUGAGGCGCGAAAGCCUGAGGGAGCAAACGGGG
rnacentral:rRNA from 1 species